rnacentral:rRNA from 1 species
AUGUUUUCUGCAGUCUCUCUGUCUCGUGUCAAUAACAUCAGAUCGGCCCUCACGAACGCCCAGAAGGGGUCACAGUCGGCCUCCACCAUCUUCGGGAAGAUGCGUGCCCUCUCCGACGAGCUUGCGGCGGCAGGCAAACCGAUCGGGGAGGACGAGCUCAUCUCCUUCAUGGUCGCCGGGCUUGAUAUGGAGUAUCAGCCCAUCAUCUCUGCACUCGACGUCCGCACCGAGCCCAUCAUCGUCGACGCACUCUUCUCGAUGGUGGCCAACUUCGAUCAACAUGCUGAGAUGUUCAGCAGCGCUGGUGGCUUCAAGUCAUCCGCGAACGCCGCUUCUAGGGGGCGAUCGAGUGGCGGCCGAGGCGGCUACCGCAACCAGAAGCAAGGUGGUCGCGGCGGCGGCUACGCUGGUGGUGGUGGCCAAAACCCUAGCAGCGGUUAUCCUGGCACGGGUAGCGGCGGCUACCACCAAGGCGGCGGUGGCUACAACAACCACGGCGGCGGCGGCUACAGCACCCAUGGCAACGGCGGCAGCCAAAGCAGCGGCCACCGUGGCGGCGGCGGCGGGGGCUAA